CUUUUUGUCCUCGUAAACUGUCAAAUGCAUUCAAAAGAAUCGGUCUAUCAGCAUGUUGAAAACAAAUAAAUAAAAACAGAACUACUUUUCCAAAGGUUCCUAGUUCGAUUUUGAAAUAAUUAAGUUUUUGUUUUCUUCAGCACAGCAUAAAAAGGUAGUCGAAUGAAAUCUCAUACCGAGGAUAUCUUUACCGGCCGUGGUCUCUCCAUCUUCGUUUCAUCGGUUGACAUCGAGAAAAUCCUAUCAGAAAACACGUAUCGAAACAUUUGUAGUGCGAGAGGAACCUUCCAUCUUUGGCUUGGGUGUUUGUUUGGUGACUGCGGUAGACGAGACGACAGCCUGAAAAAGAUGUGUCUUCACGAUUCUUGGUUGGAAUCACCAUUUGUUUGGACUGGCUAUCGAGUUGAGCUUGUUUCGAUUCCAGUGAUGGGACCUUUUCUCCAUCCUCGACUGCGACCCACGCUCUCCAGG
rnacentral:lncRNA from 11 species